rnacentral:rRNA from 1 species
UUGAACGCUGGCGGCAUGCUUUACACAUGCAAGUCGAACGGUAACAGGGAGCUUGCUCCGCUGACGAGUGGCGAACGGGUGAGUAAUGCAUCGGAACGUACCCAGUCGUGGGGGAUAACGUAGCGAAAGUUACGCUAAUACCGCAUACGUCCUGAGGGAGAAAGCGGGGGACCGUAAGGCCUCGCGCGAUUGGAGCGGCCGAUGUCGGAUUAGCUAGUUGGUGGGGUAAAGGCCUACCAAGGCGACGAUCCGUAGCGGGUCUGAGAGGAUGAUCCGCCACACUGGGACUGAGACACGGCCCAGACUCCUACGGGAGGCAGCAGUGGGGAAUUUUGGACAAUGGGGGCAACCCUGAUCCAGCCAUGCCGCGUGAGUGAAGAAGGCCUUCGGGUUGUAAAGCUCUUUCAGCCGGAAAGAAAUCGCGCAGGCUAAUACUCUGCGUGGAUGACGGUACCGGAAGAAGAAGCACCGGCUAACUACGU